rnacentral:rRNA from 1 species
GCACCAGUACGUGUCAAUGGGUUUGUUUGCAAGAACCCAAUGGAGGUUAACGUUGAUGACUUCUUCAAGGCAGCCGCCCUCGACAAGCCUAGGGUGACCAACAAGGUUGGAUCCAACGUCACUUUGAUCAACGUCAUGCAGAUUGCUGGACUCAACACCCUCGGCAUCUCAAUUGCGCGCAUUGACUAUGCUCCCUUGGGUCAGAACCCACCACAUACGCACCCUCGCGCCACUGAGAUCCUCACGGUGCUCGAGGGGACACUGUAUGUUGGCUUUGUUACAUCCAACCAGCCCGCCCCAAACAGAAACAAGUUCCUCUCGAAGGUGCUCAACAAAGGUGAUGUGUUCGUCUUCCCCGUGGGGCUCAUCCACUUC